GAGUUUGAUCUUGGCUCAGAUUGAACGCUGGCGGCAGGCCUAACACAUGCAAGUCGAGCGGAUGAAGGGAGCUUGCUCCUGGAUUCAGCGGCGGACGGGUGAGUAAUGCCUAGGAAUCUGCCUGGUAGUGGGGGAUAACGUCCGGAAACGGGCGCUAAUACCGCAUACGUCCUGAGGGAGAAAGUGGGGGAUCUUCGGACCUCACGCUAUCAGACGAGCCUAGGUCGGAUUAGCUAGUUGGUGGGGUAAAGGCCUACCAAGGCGACGAUCCGUAACUGGUCUGAGAGGAUGAUCAGUCACACUGGAACUGAGACACGGUCCAGACUCCUACGGGAGGCAGCAGUGGGGAAUAUUGGACAAUGGGCGAAAGCCUGAUCCAGCCAUGCCGCGUGUGUGAAGAAGGUCUUCGGAUUGUAAAGCACUUUAAGUUGGGAGGAAGGGCAGUAAGUUAAUACCUUGCUGUUUUGACGUUACCAACAGAAUAAGCACCGGCUAACUUCGUGCCAGCAGCCGCGGU
rnacentral:rRNA from 1 species